UCCCCAGUGGUCAGCAGCUCAGAACACCCCAGACCAAGUUAGCAAUGGCGAAGCGCCUCGCCGUCGCCCUCCUGCUGCUGGUCCUGCUCGCGUCCAGCGACGCCGGUGCUGCUGCCCGUGCUGCUAUUGGCGUCGGCGAGAAGAAGGCUCUGGUGCCCGGGCUGCCGGUGGACCUCCCUCUCCCUGGCCUCCCCGGGCUGCCUGGGCUCCCUGGGCUCCCUGGGCUGCCGGGGCUCCCUGGGCUCCCUCCCGUUCCCAAAUUGACGGCCACCAACAAGUCUCCAUGAUCGUCUGUGGUGUACGUGCUGGCUAACAUGCAAGCUGAAGCUGAACUACUUGUGGGUUUAGACUUGCAGCUGUAGCACGUACCGGCCGGAAGAAAAUCACCGGCGCUUCGCUCAAGCGUCUGUACCAACUACUAUCUUUGUCGUGUGUAUUUCCGUUCAGUUAAACCAUCGUGUGUAUUUCCUUUCAGUUAAACUAUCGUAUGUAUUUCCUUUCAGUCCACGUAAGUAUGGUUGGUACAUGGGUCUACUUGUAUGAGGCUGAAGUCUUCAGCCUAUAUGCAUUAUUGCGAUACACAGAGCCAUACGAACAACUCAAAUGGAAGCAUGGGUCUUUGACGGCACACAUGUGCCUGGCUAUACCGUGGUGAUCGACGGCAGCUGCCGUCUCCUAACACGUACCCGCGCCGACGACGCGCUGCCGUGCCGCCCUGUGCACCUUCGUGCAAGUGACAUCAACCAAAACUCGCCUAUAAAAGGCAGCGUACACACGAUGCUAAGCCUAAGCUGACUCAAACGCAGCCACACAACACCAUCUCCUCAGUACAUCAGAGCCUCCCAGUUAGCAAUAUGGCAAAGUAUCUCGCCGUCGCGCUCCUGCUACUGGUGGUGCUCGCGUACUGCGACGGGAGGGAGCUGAACCAGAAGGACCAGGCACUCGCAACGGCACGCGGUGCUGGUGCGGGUGCUGGUGGUGGCGUCGGCGAGGAGAAGAUUUUGGGGUUGGCAGAGUUGCCGCUUGUGGGAACUGUUACCGGUACCAGCACAGUUACCGGUCCGGUGGUGGUGGUUCCUGCCCUUCCCGGGAUCCCUGCUCACCCAUGAUCAUCACCAGUUCAUAUGCUGUCUUACAAGAUGAAGCUGAACUAGUGGGUUUAUGACUUCUAGCUAGCACCGUCCGGAAGAUAAACACCGGUGUUUCGCUCAUUUUCACGUUCCUUCAUGAGCGUCUGUAUCAACUAUCCUAUCGUCUGUAUUUUCUUUCAGUUCAUGUUCUAGUAUUUUCCGUUCCUCUGUAUUUUCUUUCAGUUCAUGUUCUAGUAUGAUGUAUCGUCAACCUAAUAAAUACUACUUUGUCAUCAUGAGUACCUUCUUGGAUACAUAUAGCAGCUUGCAUCAUCGAUUUACUACUUCAUCACUUGAUCACAACGUCCAAACUCCUGAGUUUUUUUUUUGUUUUUUGUAUAAAGAGAGAGAGCUUCCUCUCUGAUUUUCAUUAAUAGAAACCACAGUAUCUUGUUAUACAAACUACUAAGGGCAAGCAGAAAUACUAGGAAACGACGACACAUGAUCUGAAGGAGCAAAAUGAGAUAUACCCAUCAGCCCCCAAAGACCACAAAGGCUAUAUCCGAAAGAACACCGAUAUCCUACAGCCCACCAUACUCUGGAGUUGUUCUGGUAAAAGAAAAUGACUAAAGUUUUGGAAUUCGUUUUUACUGGCAUGUAUAUUUAUAUUUAAUUUGAGGCAAGCUGGUAUGUCUACAUAUAGGAUAUAUCAAAGCGUUGUCAAGGUGAUCAAACAAAUGAUAAUGGAAAAAGUCUAAAACAAACCCUGAACUCGUGGAGAAAAGCUAAAUGGAACCCUGAACUCCUAAUCCCUGAAAUCAGCACACUCAACUCACUAAUCCCGGUCUAAAUUAAACCCUGAGACCGUUUUAGAGCUAAUUUGCUGACGUGGCAGCGAUUUCACCAGGAUUCUGACUUGUGGGCCACGGAGAGGGAGUGUUGACCACGCAUUUGGAUAGAGAGAGGGGAAUCUGAGCUCAUUGUUAGGUUUACGGCGACGGCAGAGGCGAGGGGGCGNNNNNNNNNNNNNNNNNNNNNNNNNNNNNNNNNNNNNNNNNNNNNNNNNNNNNNNNNNNNNNNNNNNNNNNNNNNNNNNNNNNNNNNNNNNNNNNNNNNNNNNNNNNNNNNNNNNNNNNNNNNNNNNNNNNNNNNNNNNNNNNNNNNNNNNNNNNNNNNNNNNNNNNNNNNNNNNNNNNNNNNNNNNNNNNNNNNNNNNNNNNNNNNNNNNNNNNNNNNNNNNNNNNNNNNNNNNNNNNNNNNNNNNNNNNNNNNNNNNNNNNNNNNNNNNNNNNNNNNNNNNNNNNNNNNNNNNNNNNGGAUUCCGUCGAGCUAGCGGAAGGAGGGAGGCUGAGACGAGGUCGCCGGUUCCAUACCGCGAGGGCGCCAUGGAUUACGAGCCACCGAAGCUCUGCCAUUGCAAUCCGCCAAGGAAGGCGCCGAGGUGGAUAUCGUGGAGCCGGCAGAACCCCGGCAGGAGGUACUACGCCUGCGUCCAUGCGCUGGUGAGCUCCAUUUUCCCCUCCAUUUUCCAUCUGCAAGUGUCUUUCUUCUGCCACUGCUUUGUUAAUCUGAUUCAUUCCUUUGUGUUCAUUUUGAUAGAAUGGUGGUUGUUGGUUUAUUGAGUGGCAUGAUGAUCCACUGCCCAAGUUUUUUUUCUGAUCUGAUUGGAGAUUUAAGAGAUGAAGUUUGGAGACUGAAGGGUGCUAGGACUGAAGAUGAAGUUGAAGAGCAAACAAUGACUGAAAGUGUGAUUCUGGCUCUGCAGGAACAGUUGAAAGAAAAAAGUGCUGAGAUAGAUGCAGUGAAGAGCAAAUAUAAGACAAUUCUGGUUGUGUUUGCUGUAUUUGUGCUAGGUUUAGUGCUAGGAAAAUUUCUAGUGCACUGAAUAUAUGGUCAGGUUGAUCCUUGUAUGGAGAAGGAGAAUGGUUGGUUAGUGUCAGUUAUUGCUGGAACUAUGUUGAUCCUAGUAAUGAAGUAUGUGGCUGGAACUAUGUAGAUCUAUGUUGAUCUAGUAAUGAAGUAUGUGGCUGGAACUAUGUAUGACAUGAUGAUCUAUGUUCAUCCUAGUAAUGAAGUAUGUGGCCAUUGUGGCAUUAUCAUCCAAUUUGUGCAUUUGCCUUGUUGCUUGAUUCCUAUCUUGAAUAAUGAGCAUAGUUUUGUUGACAAAUGACACAAUUUAUGACAUGAUAUGUUGGCAGGAGCAUCUUUGCAACAACACAAAACUGGAUAUGUUGACAAAUGACCAAAUAUUUCAGGCAUUUUCAUUUCAGACAUAAUAUUCCUGUUUGCAACAACACCAAAAGGAUUCAAAUGUUUGCAACAGGAAAUGAUCUAUGAUCAUGACAAGCACAUAGUUCAGUGCAUACUAACAGGAAAUGAUCUAUGAUCACCAAAAGUAGUUUUCAUUACAUGGUCACUAGCAUAGAAGACAUGCUCUGCUCAUUGCCACUAGCAUUGAAGUACUUAUAGAUUGGUAAUGAAGAUGUUGCAGCUCUCUUCCUCGUUGCCAGCAGAUGUUCCAGCUUGUGCAGUUGGAGUUGUUUUCUUGGGAGGUUUAAACUUUGAAGCAGUUCCAGCAGUUCCACAAGUUGGGGCUGAUCUUGCUGCUGGUUGAGAAGUAGGUGCACUUCCAGCUUGUGUAGUACCAGCCUGCAGUAGAUCCAUGUAUUAAUUGACAGGUACUAAACUCAUCUAAAAUUAUUUGAAGGCAAGUUAAAUUACCUCAGUGCUUUUUCUUUUCUUGGUUGCCUUUACAAGAUGUGCAUUUUUUCUUGCCCUUCUCUGGAUUCUUCUUGCAACCAGACUUGUUGUGGCCUUCAGUGCCACACAUUGAACAAACAAUAACAGUGCCAUGUUUGCUCAUUUUUUUACCAACUGGUUUCUCAUGGUAUUCCCUCCUCCUAGCAUUUUUCUUGGGCCUGCCUGGCAUUCUAACUUUAACAUAAUCAGGAGCUUCUGGCCUAGGUUUUUCAGAAAUAGGCCACAUCUCCUCACCUUCCACAGGUUCCAAGCAAUGCUCAUAAAUGCUCAUGAAUGUGUCAAUGCUAUAGCAAGGAUCAAUGUAAUCUUCCACUUGUUUCCCACACUUGUGUAUUGCUGUUAUGGCAUGAGAACAAGGAAGACCUGAAAGUUGGAAAUAACCACAAGAACAAGUUCUUUUUUCAAGACUUAUAGUGUAUUGCCUUCUUCUCUUAGUUACCAGUCUCACUUCAAACCCAUCUUUGCCAUUCCAAAGGACCUCCAUGAACUGUAUUCUUGCUAUGCUGGCUUUCAACUUUCUGAAUAUGCUAGGGCAUAUUUUCCCAUGCAAUUUCACACCUUUGGCCCUUUGUUCUUGAAUUCUAGCAAAUAUUUUCUUCCUUAUUUUCUCUAGCAUGGAAAUUAUUGGAUAAAACCUUGCAUCCACAAUUGCAUGAUUGAAUGAUUCACACAAGUUGUUAUCCACUGACUAACAGUUAGAACCAACUGCAAAAUAUGCCCUUGCCUAGUGCACUGGUUCUGUUCUCAUGAUAUCUUUUGCACCCUCUGGUGUUUCUUGUGCAAGCUUGGCUUUAUAAUAAUUGAAAUCUUGGAUAUUUGCUACUUUGGCAACAACCCAGAAUUUCUUCUGCCACUCAUGUGCCCUGUGUUUCUUCCUCCAGUUGGCAUAGAUGUGCCUAGCACACAUCCUGUGCUCUGCUUUUGGAAGAUAGUCAUUCAUGGCAUUGAGAAUUCCCUUUUGCUGGUCAGAUAUGAACAUACAGCCAUCUCCAUUGUUGUUAAUGUUCAAAUCUUUAAUGAGCAAACCAAUGAACCAUUUCCAUAUCUCAUUUGUUUCCUGCUCAACUACUGCCCAAGCCAGUGGAUACAUUUGAUUAUUUGCAUCCCUAGCUAUAGCACACAACAGUUCCCCCUUCACAACCCCUUUAAAGAAACAACCAUCUAAUCCUAUCACUUUUCUACAGCCAGCUUUGAAUCCUAGCUUGAAUGCAUUAAAGCAAACAUAAAAGCUCUGAAAUACAUUGUUGAUAUUGUCAGUUGGAUCCAAACAAACUGCCACUGUACUUCCAGGAUUACUUCUAAGAAGCUCAAGCUGGUAAUCAAACACUCUGGUAUAUUCAUUCUUCAUGCCAUCUAGCAAUUUAUCCAUCACAAGCUUCUUUGCAUGCUUGCACUUUGAGGUGGACACAUCUGCAAACAUAUCUUGCAAUACUGUUGCUUUCAUACUCUCUAUCUUCCACAUGGGAUUUGCAAGAAUGAAGUGCUCAUACCUCUGUGCAAUAACCUUUGCAGUCACUAGCCUAUUCUCUCUGUUUUGGGCAUAGUGAUGUUCAUCAUUAUAUGUGAUGACUUUGAAUCUGCUUGUCCUGCUGGUUUUUGCUGCAUAUAUCAUCCAAGGGCAUCCAGGCCAUCCACACUUGGCUCUAACUCUAUUUAUCUCUGACUUUUGGAACACAAUGCUUCUUUUUGUCACUAGCCCAUAUCUCUUCAAAGCUUUGACUAGCUGGUUCUUGCUUUUGAAGACCAUUGACAACUAGAAGUUUGGAAUUUCACUGUCAUUGUUGAAUCUAGGAAACUGGCUCUUCAUCCUCUCUGGCUCUCCAUCAGAAUCCUCACCAUAGGAGUAAUCCUCAUUAGAUGAAUCAAAGUUCCACUCCUUCUCCUCUCCUUCUAGCUUCUCCAUAUUUGCAAUCAAAUUUAUUAGAACUGCUUCACUUGUAUCUCUUUCAAUCCAGCCUUUUGUUUCUCUCAUCCUUUUCUUGAAUUUUCUUGCAUGCCUUCUAGGCUCUACCACUUCUGAAUCUUCACCACUGUCCUCACUGUGUGGCAUAUAUUCAGUGUCAGUGUCAUCAUCUGAACCUUCACUGUCAACAUCUGGAUUUGUUUGUGGAGGAGCAGCAAUUGCUUGUGAAGUACCAGCCACAUGUUGUGAAGUAGCUGGCAUAUGCUGUGAAGUAGCAGGACCAGCUUGACUUGGAUUGCAAAUUUGUGACACUGCAAAUUCAUCUUAAACUAGCUCACUGUCAACUACAUUAGUUCUUCCCCUUCUCUGCUUCACUGGACUAACAAUGAUUUGGGAGAUGACCCCUGUGUCAUCAGGAACCAUGAUAUUCUGAACAACUUGCACUUCUUCACUGUCAGUAGCUUCAGCAGCGACAUUCUCAACAACUUGCACUUCUUCUUCACUGUCAGUAGCUUCAGCAGUGACAAUGGCAGGUGGAGCAUCACUUAACUGCACAAGUUCAUCCUCAAAAUCACUGCAACUGCUGCUGUCUGCACUGUCCUGUUCCCCAUGGUACUCAACAUAAAUAUGUGCAACAGCACCAACACAAAUAUAAUCCCCCAUCUUCAGACAUUUACUGUCAUCAUCCAAGAACACCAAACCAUCAACCAAUUCAGUCCCAGGAAUAUGAAAGUAGAAUUUCAUUGAUUCCUUCAGUUCCAUAUGAUCUUUCAAAAGCCCUUUGACCUCCUGCAAAGAGAGCUUGUCUCUCUCAAUCUCUGACAACCCCUCAUCACCCCCAACAUAGUCCAACUGUCGACCAAUUCGGAUGAAAUCCCCUCCAAAAUGAAACCUAACAUUUAGUAUCUCUGUUGGGUCCAUGUUGUAACUGAAAAAAGAAGAAAAAAGAACACACAGAUCACUACCUUGUGCUAGUACGAACUAAAAUUAGAAACUAAUCUAAACAUCAGAACCUACUUUUUCCCACUUAAAAGAUGAUCCUUUUCACCCUAAAACCCUAACUCAUCCAUGUUCAGAGAGGUCAAAAUGCCAAAUGCGGCGCCAUAGGAGGAGGUCUUCGGGGACAUACCUUAACCCGUUGCGUGCAAUAGCGCGCCGGCUAGAUCAUCGUCGCUGGAGCAGAUCAACCGCCUGUCGCCAUUACCAUCGCCAGAGCAGAGAGGAAGACAGGGGGCGGCUCCUCGACUCCUACGGUGGAUGGGCUGGACUCCUCCUCUCUCAACUGGUAAAGUGCUCGAUCUGGCGCAUUGGGCCGGCCCAACUUGAUCGGACCCAAGCGCCAACUCUCUCUGUUUCGCCAAAAAAAAAUGAAAUCCCGGCCAGACUGUUUGGAACGGUCUCAGGGUUUAAUUUAGACCGGGAUUAGUGAGUUGAGUGUGCUGAUUUCAAGGAUUAGGAGUUCAGGGUUCCAUUUAGCUUUUCUCCACGAGUUCAGGGUUUGUUUUAGACUUUUUCCAAUAAUAAUAUCCCAACAGCAUCAAACGAGCAGUAGAGAUGUAGGGCUUAUGUGCACAUAUCCAAAACCACGAAAAUAAGGGAAACUCCAUGAUACAGGUUCUAUGAAAUUAAAUACAUGUUUUAACAACCUUUCAUGUUCUUCUAUGAUGUAUUUUGAGUCACUAAACCGAGCAGUGUAGCAAUCCAUGUCCGCUUGAUCAAGCAUCCAUUGAUCAGAAUAGAAUUCGAGGCGGUGCCCGGGGCGAAUUGCGUGACAAAGUUUGAUCCCAAGGUAGACGAUUGGUAAAAUGAAUAGUAUUCGAACUUUAAAAGGUAGGAGUAUGUAUAUAGAAAAAUUAAGAGAUAUUUGGUGAGUAUCGAACUAUUUUUGUUAUGUGAAUAAAAUACUUGCCCUUUAACUAAAAAUGGUAGUGUGAUACGUCUCCGUCGUAUCUACUUUUCCAAAUACUUUUGCCUUUAUUUUGGACUCUAACUUGUAUGAUUUGAAUGGAACUAAUCCGGACUGACGUUGUUUUCAGCAGAAUUACCUUGGUGUUGUUUUAUGUGCAGAAAGCAAGUAUUCUCGGAAAGUCCUGAAACUCCACGGAACACCUUAGAAAAAAUAAUAAAAAAUCCUUGCCAAAGAUGAAGACCAGGGGGCCCACACCCUGUCCACGAGGGUGGGCCCCCCCCGCUCUAGGGCGCGCCCCCAUACCUCGUGGGCCCCCUGGAAACCCUCUGACGCCAAUUCCAACUCUAUAUAUUCACUUUCGGAGAGAAAAAAAUCAGAGAGAAGAAAUCAUCGCAUUUUACGAUACGGAGUCGCCGCCAAGCCCUAAAACCUCUCGGGAGGGCUGAUCUGGAGUCCAUUCGGGGCUCCGGAGAGGGGGAUUCGUCGCCAUCGUCAUCAUCAACCAUCCUCCAUCACCAAUUUUAUGAUGCUCACCGCCGUGCGUUAGUAAUUUCAUCAUAGGCUUGCUGGACGGUGAUGGGUUGGAUGAGAUUUAUCAUGUAAUCGAGUUAGUUUUGUUAGGGUUUGAUCCCUAGUAUCCACUAUGUUCUAAGAUUGAUGUUGCUAUGACUUUGCUAUGCUUAAUGCUUGUCACUAGGGCCCGAGUGCCAUGAUUUUAGAUCUGAACCUAUUAUGUUUUCAUGAAUAUAUGUGAGUUCUUGAUCCUAUCUUGCAAGUCUAUAGUCACCUACUAUGUGUUAUGAUCCGGCAACCCCGAAGUGACAAUAAUCAGGACCACUCCCGGUGAUGACCAUAGUUUGAGGAGUUCAUGUAUUCACUAUGUGCUAAUGCUUUGUUCCAGUUCUCUAUUAAAAGGAGGCCUUAAUAUCCCUUAGUUUCCAAUAGGACCCCGCUGCCACGAUAGGUAGGACAAAAGAUGUCAUGCAAGUUCUUUUCCAUAAGCACGUAUGACUAUUUACGGAAUACAUGCCUACAUUACAUUGAUGAGUUGGAGCUAGUUCUUUGUCACCCUAUGUUAUGACUGUUACAUGAUGAACCGCAUCCGGCAUAAUUAUCCAUCACUAAUCCGGUGCCUACAAGUUUUCCAUAUACUGGUUCUCGCUUAUUUACUUUUCCGCUGCUGUUGUUACAAUCACUACAAAAUACCAAAAACAUUACUUUUACUGUCUUUACUUUUGUUGCCGCUACCACCAUUAUCAUAUUACUUUGCUACUAAACACUUUGCUGCAGAUACGAAGUUUCCAUGUGUGGUUGAAUUGACAACUCAGCUGCUAAUACUUGAGAAUAUUCUUUGGCUCCCCUUGUGUCGAAUCAAUAAAUUUGGGUUAAAUACUCUAACCUCGAAAACUGUUGCAAUCCCCUAUACUUGUGGGUUAUCAAGACCUUUUUCUAGCACCGUUGCCGGGGAGCAUAGCUCUAUUCUUUGAGUCACUUGGGAUUUAUAUCUGCUGGACACUAUGAAGAACUUGAAAGACGCUAAGACAACAAUUUAUCCCUCAACUACGAGGGGAGGUAAGGAACUGCCAUCUAGCCUUGCACUUGAUUCACCUCUGUUAUGAGUAAGCUAGCGACACCUAAACCUGCUUCUGUUAUUUGUUCUGAUAUGUCGCAUGUUAUUGAUGAUGCCACUUCUACUAUGCAUGAUACUUAUGAUGAAACUCCUUCUAUGCCUGAUACUAUUGUGCCCCUUAGUGAAUUUCUUGAAGAACAAAUUGCUAGGGCUAGAGAAAGAGAAAUUGAUGAAACUGAAUACGAUGAUGAUAGUGAUGAUGAAAAUAUGCCUAUUAUUCCUGAAGGUUAUCUUUUUGACAAAGAUUCCUCUUUAGCUAUUUUAGCCUGCAAAGAUAGAUAUGAGCUUAAAAGGUUAUUGAUUAAAUGGAACAAAGAAUCACUUAGAGAUAAAAUGACACCUGAUCCUGCUUUUGCAACUUCGCCUAUAUGUGUUCCUGAUAAGGAUUAUGAAUUCUCUGUUGAUCCAGAUAUAAUUACUUUGGUUGAAUCUGAUCCUUUUUAUGGCUAUGAAUCUGAAACUGUUGUGGCACAUCUUACUAAGUUAAAUGAUAUAGCUGCCCUGUUCACUAAUGAUGAGAGAUCGCGUUACUUCUAUAUACUCAAAAUAUUUCCGUUCUCAUUAAAGGGUGAUGCUAAGAUAUGGUUUAAUUCUCUUGAUCCUGGUUGUGUGUGUAGUCCCCAGGAUAUGAUUUAUUACUUCUCUGCUAAAUAUUUCCCUGCUCAUAAGAAACAAGCUGCUUUGAGGGAAAUAUACAACUUUGUGCAAAUUAAAGAAGAGAGUCUCCCACAAGCUUGGGGGAGGCUUCUCAAGUUACUUAAUGCCUUGCCUGAUCAUCCUUUUAAGAAACCUGAAAUACUUGAUAUCUUUUAUAAUGGACUAACUGAUGCUUCCAGAGAUUACCUGGAUAGUUGUGCUGGUUCUCUUUUCAGGGAAAGAACACCGGAUGAAGCUGAAAUUCUAUUGAAUAAUAUGUUGACAAAUGAAAAUAAUUGGGCACCUCCUGAGCCAGCUCCUGCUUCAAUUAAUGAUCCUAUUCCUAAACCAACUCCGAAGAAGAGAGGUGUUCUAUUUCUCAGUCCCGAAGAUAUGUAAGAAGCAAAGAAAUCUAUGAGAGAAAAAGGUAUUAAAGCUGAAGACGUUAAGAAUUUACCUCCUAUUGAAGAAAUACAUGGUCUUAAUAUACCGCCUGUUGAAGAAGUAUACGAUUUGAAUCCUUUAUUUAUUGAAGAACCUCCCGAUAUCCCGACGCAGGUAGUAAAGGUAAAUUCUCUCUAUAGAUUUGAUGAAGGUGAUAUCCCUCACUAUAAGUCUGCUAGGAAAUGCUUUGAUGUGUUUGAUAACUUUAUUGUCAAACAAGAAAAUUUUAAUGCUUAUUUUGGUAGACAAUUGAAAUAUGAUUCCGAUAUGCUUAAAUACUUGGGUGAUUAUAUGGCUAAUAUUAAAGGUGAGCUUAAACUUGUUAUGAAAUAUGCUUCUAUGGUUACCACUCAAGUAGAACAAGUACUUAAAGCUCAAAAAGAAGUGCUUGAUGAAAUGAAUAGUAAGAAAAAUGAUUAUGCUGUUAGAGUGGCUACUAGAACUGGUAGAAUGACUCAGGAACCUUUGUAUCCUGAAGGCCACCCUAAGAGAAUCGAGCAAGAUUCUCAAAGAAAUAAUAUUGAUGUUCCUAGUUCUUCUAAAAAGAAGAAAAAGAAAAAUGAUAGAAUUGUGCAAACUUCUAGUGAACCUAUUGAUGAACCACCAGAUAAUCCAAAUGAUAUAUCUAUGUCUGAUGCUGAAACACAAUCUCGUAAUGAACAUGAACCUAAUGAAAAUAUUAAUGAUGAUGUUCAUGAUGAUGCUCAACCUAGUAAUGAUAAUGAUGUAGAAAUUGAACCUGUUGUUGAUCUUGAUAACCCACAAUCAAAGAAUCAACGUUAUGAUAAAAGAGAUUUUGUUGCUAGGAAACAUGGUAAAGAAAGGGAACCCUGGGUUCAGAAACCCAUGCCUUUUCCUCCUAAACCAUCCAAUAAAAAGGAUGAUGAGGAUUUUGAGCGCUUUGCUGAAAUGAUUAGACCUAUCUUUUUACGUAUGCGAUUAACUGAUGUGCUCAAAACAAAUCCUUAUGCUAAAUAUAUGAAGGAUAUCAUUACUAAUAAAAGAAAGAUACCGGAAGCUGAAAUUUCCACCAUGCUUGCUAAUUAUACUUUUAAGGGUGGAAUACCAAAGAAACUUGGAGACCCUGGAGUACCUACUAUACCUUGCUCCAUUAAAAGAAAUUAUAUUAAAACUGCUUUAUGUGAUCUUGGAGCCGGUGUUUGUGUUAUGCCUCUCUCUUUAUAUCAUAGACUUGACUUGAAUAAGUUGACACCUACUGAAAUAUCUUUGCAAAUGGCUAAUAAAUCAACUGCUAUACCUGUCGGUAUUUGUGAGGACGUGCCUGUUGUGGUUGCAAACGUUACUAUUCUAACGGACUUUGUUAUUCUUGAUAUUCCUGAGGAUGAUAGUAUGUCUAUUAUUCUUGGAAGACCUUUUCUUAAUACUGCAGGGGCUGUUAUUGAUUGCAACAAAGGCAAUGUCACUUUUCAUGUUAAUGGUAAUGAGCAUACGGUACACUUUCCGAGGAAACAACCUCAAGUUCAUAGUAUCAACUCCAUUGGAAAAAUUCCAUCGAUUAUAAUUGGAGGUUUUGAAUUUCCUCUUCCUACGCUCAAAAAGAAAUAUGAUAUACUUAUUAUGGGGGAUGUGCAUAUCCCCGUUGAGGUAACUUAGUGUUAUUCGAAAUUUCUCCUGUUUCAUGAUUAUCGGAAUGAUUUUGUUAACAAGACUUGAUCAACCUUGUUAGUGGAUUCUUUUUGAUGAGCAUAAGAUGGAUGAAACUAGAAGCACAAACUUCUGUACCCUCUUUAUAUUUUCUGUAAUUUAGUAGAAAUAAAGUAAAAAUAGUAUUUUUCUAUCUGUUUCCUGACUUAUCCGUGCAAUAUAAAAAUAUCCCGAAAAUAAAAGUCCUCAGAAUGACAUGCCAAUUUAAUAUGAUUUUUUCUUGAAUAUUUGAGGAUUUACUGUGCAAAAAUUACCACGGGAGGAGCUGCCACCUGGGCACGAGGGUGGUGGGCGCGCCCCCCUCCCUAGGGCGCGCCCUCUUGCCUCGUGGGCCCACGGUGGCCCUCCUCCACUUAUCCCAGCACCCAUCUUCUUCCUCUGCCUCACACAAACCUGAAAAACCAACUCAAGCACGAGUUCCAGCCACUUUUGCUGUGAUUUUCGAUCUCCUUGCUCAAAGCACCUCUCGCAAAACUGCUUUGGGAGAUUGUUCCUUGGUAUGUGACUCCUCCAUUGGUCCAAUUAGUUUUUGUUCUAGUGCUUUAUUCUCUGCAAAUUUGUGCUGCAUAGGUGACCAUGUUCUUGAGCUUGCAUGUCAUAUUUCUAUGGUUCCAAGUAGUUCUAAUGCUUGAUAUAAGCUCUAGACACUUGUAGGAGUAGUUGCUAUCAGUUUUAUGAAGUUGGCUUACUUUUGUUUGAAGUUACUAAAAAUUUCAGAAUUUUUCAGAGAAAAACAAUAUGCUUAGGAAGAUGUUCCAAGGUGGUUCCUCUAAGAAGCAAGGACCCAGGAUUGCUAUGCGCAAUGCUGACGAGGAUCCAUCAAGAGACGCUCCGGUACGGCCUUGAGAAUGGCCAUCGGAGAAUUUUAUGGACCGUGCGGGAAUCAAAGGAGAAUUCAAAGCAUAUUUGCGCAAUGCCAGUCUUGAGGAAUUUGAGGCCAACAAAUGCCCCCAGUAUCAUGAUCUCACAAGUUCAUUUGUGAGGAGGUUUGAGUAUUCAUCUUCGCGUAAUUCUCCUUCAGUCAUGUUUGAUCUUUAUGAUAAAUCUUAUAGAAUGGACUUAGAGGAUUUCAAUCUUGCUUGCAAACUUCCAUCAUGGGGUAGUAUUAGGGAUCCCCCUAAAUCUGAAUUUAGAAACUUUCUUGCUGAUAUAACUGUGGGGGAAUCUAGAGAUAUAACGCAAGCUACCAUAGGGAGCAUUCACUUUCCUGCUAUACAUUAUUUUGCUUUCUUCAUCGGUAGAUGCAUAAAUGCUAAGGAUGAAGCAUGUCACAUGUGUGUCCCUGACCUUAGCAUUCCUAGGAGUGUUGUGUUAGGAGACCAAUCUUAUCAUCUGGGAGCCAUUGUAGCUCGUAGGUUGCAUCAUAAUAGACAUAAUGGAGAUUUCUUUGGAGGAAUUUAUGCAACCCGUUUAGCUCAUUUUCUUGAGAUAGACAUCCGUGAGGGUGAUACGGAGUUGCCCACUGCAUAUUUAGAUUAUGACUCCAUGGCUUCACAUCAUUUUGUUGAGCGACCCGAAUCACCUCUUUUAUACCAUUUAAUUUUUAACAAACGGCAUGUUGUCCAUAUUACUCUCCCUGCUCCUGCUCUUUUUGAUUCACAGACAAAAGGAAGAUAUACUAUUACUAGAGAGGAGGCAGAUGAGUACGAGAGGAGAGCGGAGGCAGCCCGACUCCACGCUGCAGCUCAGGAGGCGAUAACUGUUGUAUCACAGUACGGCCCCAGCUACACCUACGGGUAUCCGCCAGGCCAUCCCUGGCAAUAGACCAACUUAGGCCAAAAGCCUAAGCUUGGGGGAGUACAUAUUUCUCACCGACAUUAUAUUUAUGUUCACACACACUCAUUGCUAGAUGUCGGUGUUCAUACUCUUUCAUUGUAAUAUCCAUGCUAGUUUAUUUUCUUUUUCCUGCUUUCUUCUUGUGUGUUUGUUAAACCUUAAGAAAACCAAAAAAAUUAGUAGUAAUUUACUUUUCUGCUGUAGUGGUAGUAAUUAAAAAGAAAACCCAAAAAUAUUUCCCGUUCUUCUUUUGCUUGUUGGGAGCUUUCCCGUGUAAAUAGUUUUAUUUUCUUUUCUUUUCUUUAGGGGUCAGUAGGAGAAGACCAUGAUUAAAUUGUUGUAGUGGCUCUUAUAUGUAUUAUUCUUGAAAUUAACCAAAGAGCCCAUAUUGCCAUGUCUUCUCCUGUUUAUUGAAUGCUCGCAGAUUCCAGCUUAGUCCAAUGCACGUGCACUCUUAUUAUUAUUCACACCAUUCGGUCGUGCAAGUGAAAGACAAUUAUGAUGAUAUAUGAUGGACUGACUGAGAUGAGAAAAGCUGGUAUGAACUCGGCCUCUUUUGUUUUUGUAAAUAUGAUGAGCCAAUCGUUCUUGAUUCAGCUUAUUAUGAAUAAACAUGUUUGCAAUGACAAUUAGAGAUCAUAGUUUCUUGUGCCAUGCUUGAUUAGCUAUGAGUUAUAAUGGUUUACCUUGUGUGCCAACAUGCUAUUGAGAUGAUUAUGAUGUGGUAUGAUGGGGUGGUAUCCUCCUUUGAAUGAUUUGAGUGACUUGACUUGGCACAUGUUCAAGCAUGUAGUUGAAACAAAUCAACAUAGCCUUCACGAUAUUUAUGUUCAUGGUGGAUUAUAUCCUACUCAUGCUUGCAUCCAAUGUUUAUUAAUUUUAAUGCAUGUACAUGGCUGUUGUCGCUCUCUAAUUGGUCGCUUCCCAGUCUUUUGCUAGCCUUCACUUGUACUAAGCGGGAAUACUGCUUGUGCAUCGAAUCCCUUAAACCUCAAAGUUAUUCCAGAUGAGUCCACAAUAUCUACCCAUAUGUGGUAUCUACCUGCCAUUCCAAGUAAAUUUGUAUGUGCCAAACUCUAAACCUUCAAAUAAAUAUUUUGUUUUGUAUGCUCGAAUAGCUCAUGUAUCAACCAAGGCUGUCCUUAUCUUCCGUGUUAGGCGGGUUAUUCUCAAGAGGAGUGGACUCCGCUCCUCACUCACGAGAAAAUGGCUGGUCACCGGGAUGCCCAGUCCCAUGCUUUAUGCAAACUAAAUCAAAAUUAAUUGCAAACAAAACUCCCCCUGGGACCUGAUGUAUGUUGGAGACACUCGUUGUUUCGAGCAAGUCAUGGAUUGAUGCUUGUUGGUGGAGGGGGAGUAUAAACUUUACCAUUCUGUUUGGGAACCGCCUAUAAUUUGUUUAGCAUGGAAGAUAUCGCCAUCUCUUAGUUGCUAUGUUGACAAUGAAAGUAUACCACUCAAAAUGCAAUUUAUCUCUAUUUCAAAACCGAGCUCUGGCACCUCUACAAAUCCCUGCUUCCCUCUGCGAAGGCCCAUCCAUUUACUUUUAUGUCGAGUCAUCACCCUCUUAUUAAAAAGCACUAGCUGGAGAGCGCAUCUGUCAUUUGCAUUCAUCAUUGUUAAUUUAUAUUGGGUAUGACUAUGAUUGGAUCUCUUUUACCAUGAAUUACAAUGUCUAGUCAGUCCUUGAUCUUUAAAGGUGUUCUGCAUUAAUGUUUUGCGGUCUCAGAAAGGGCUAGUGAGAUACCAUCUUGUUAUAUCAUAUUAUGAUUGUUUUGAGAAAGUGUUGUCAUCCGAGAUUUAUUAUUAUGGCUUGCUAGUUGAUUAUGCUAUUGAUAUGAGUAAUUAUGAGACCUGAGAAUUAUUGCAAAUAUGGUUAGUUAUGAUCUAUGCUGAAAACCUGAAUGCUGGCUUGACAUAGUUACAACAACAAGAGCAAAUAGAGUUUGUAAAAGUUUUUCUUUCUUUCUUUCAGUUUGUCAACUGAAUUGCUUGAGGACAAGCAAGGGUUUAAGCUUGGGGGAGUUGAUACGUCUCCGUCGUAUCUACUUUUCCAAACACUUUUGCCCUUGUUUUGGACUCUAACUUGUAUGAAUUGAAUGGAACUAACCCGGACUGAUGCUGUUUUCAGCAGAAUUACCUUGGUGUUGUUUUAUGUGCAAAAAGCAAAUAUUCUCGGAAAGUCCUGAAACUCCACGGAACACCUUAGAAAAAAUAAUAAUAAAUCCUCACCAAAGAUGAAGACCAGGGGGCCCAUACCCUGUCCACGAGGGUGGGGGUGCCCCCCCUCCAGGGCGCGCCCCCUACCUCGUGGGCCCCCUGGAAACCCUCCGACGCCAAUUCCAACUCUAUAUAUUCACUUUCGGAGAGAGAAAAAUCAGAGAGAAGAAAUCAUCGCGUUUUACGAUACGGAGCCGCCACCAAGCCCUAAAACCUCUCGGGAGGGCUGAUUUGGAGUCCGUUUAGGGCUCCGGAGAGGGGGAUUCGUCGCCGUCGUCAUCAUCAACCAUCCUCCAUCACCAAUUUCAUGAUGCUCACCGCCGUGCGUGAGUAAUUCCAUCGUAGGCUUGCUGGACGGUGAUGGGUUGGAUGAGAUUUAUCAUGUAAUCGAGUUAGUUUUGUUAGGGUUUGAUCCCUAGUAUCCACUAUGUUCUAAGAUUGAUGUUGCUAUGACUUUGCUAUGCUUAAUGCUUGUCACUAGGGCCCGAGUGCCAUGAUUUUAGAUCUGAACCUAUUAUGUUUUCAUGAAUAUAUGUGAGUUCUUGAUCCUAUCUUACAAGUCUAUAGUCACCUACUAUGUGUUAUGAUCCGGCAACCCCGAAGUGACAAUAAUCGGGACCACUCCCGGUGAUGACCAUAGUUUGAGGAGUUCAUGUAUUCACUAUGUGCUAAUGCUUUGUUCCGGUUCUCUAUUAAAAGGAGGCCUUAAUAUCCCUUAGUUUCCAAUAGGACCCCGCUGCCACGGGAGGGUAGGACAAAAGAUGUCAUGCAAGUUCUUUUCCAUAAGCACGUAUGACUAUUUACGGAAUAUAUGCCUACAUUACAUUGAUGAAUUGGAGCUAGUUCUGUGUCACCCUAUGUUAUGACUGUUACAUGAUGAACCGCAUCCGGCAUAAUUAUCCAUCACUAAUCUGGUGCCUACGAGUUUUCCAUAUACUGGUUCUCGCUUAUUUACUUUUCCGCUGCUACUGUUACAAUCACUACAAAAUACCAAAAACAUUACUUUUCCUGUCUUUACUUUUGUUGUCGCUACCACCACUAUCAUAUUACUUUGCUACUAAACACUUUGCUGCAGAUACAAAGUUUCCAGGUGUGGUUGAAUUGACAACUCAGCUGCUAAUACUUGAGAAUAUUCUUUGGCUCCCCUUGUGUCGAAUUAAUAAAUUUGGGUUAAAUACUCUACCCUCAAAAACUGUUGCGAUUCUCUAUACUUGUGGGUUAUCAUAGUGGCAGGAUUUUUUUGUCUUCUCAAUUGUUUAUCACUCCCUCUAUAUCUCUCCUUAUCUCUCAUUUUUACUUCUCCUCCACCUAUCCUUCAGAAUUCAUACAAAGUUCCUAUAAAUCAAAAGAGGGCAAGAGGCCUAAAGCAUGGUUUAAGAUCCAUAAACUUUGAAAGGGGAGGGGGUUAGAGCAUCUCUAGCAGACCCUGUAAAAAGCCCUGACCCGCAAAAUAACCGCCAAAAUGUGGGUCGGCGCAGAAAAUUCCAUCCGAACAGGCCCCGCAAACGCGUCCGGCACGUAAAUAUUUUUGCGGGGCGCGCCAAAAUUUCGACCCCAACCCGCGAAUAAACGCCCCCCCGGCCCGUCGGCGCCUUGUAUAUAGCAAGAGAGGUUGGUCAUGAGGACAUUUCAACCCGCGCUUUUCCCCACCUACCACCUCCCCUCUCCCCCUCGCCCCGCCGCCGGGCCGCCGCCCACGAAUCCGGCGACAGUAGCAUGCGGGAUCAUGCCGAAAGGCCGCCACACGCCCGAGGUUGCCCUCUCCGCCACCCCCUCCUGCGUCGGCGGGCCAGAAAGUUGCAGAUCUGUGGCCGGUCAUCGUGGGUGGCAGGAUUUGGCUUUUCCGGCCGCCGGUGGCUGCGCCAAGCGAAGCACCCUAGUAGCCCUGGCAAAGCCCCAUCCCUGCAUGCAGGUACGAGUUCGUCCUGUCGUCGCCGCCGACGGUUUGCCGGUGUGGAUUCGGCCGGCCGGCCGCCGGGCUCGGUGCUCGCCCAACGGCUCUGCAGCUCGCCGAUGCCGCUCAUACGGUGCGACAACUGCACGCGGACAAUGCUACGACUAACUUCGGGCACGCCGAAGCACCCCGGGUGGGUGUUCGUCAAAUGCGAAAAUGACUGGGUAUGCAUUGUUUUCAUGCGGCUUUGGCACCGUAUUCUUUGGUUCAAUUGCGAUAGCUCAUUUCGAACAUCGUCAUGUGUGUAGGAAGAUGGAUGCUCAUUUUGGUUGGGAAGGAGAAUACAUUGAUUUAUUGAUAGAAAGAAACAUAAUAGAUGUUCUAGCACUCCUUAGUAGAAUCGAAGCUAAUGAUGCAGCUGCAUGUGUAAUUAGAGAAGCAAGUAGAGGGGAAGCAACGUCUACUUCUUUGGAACCAAAGAAGAAGAAUGAAGAAUGCAAAAUGAAGAAUCCGCAGAUCAACAAUGAAUGCAUGGAGAAGAUAUUGGUCCAACUAGUGGGAGCAGUUAUGUAAGUUGGAUAUCUUCUAAAAUGCAUAAUUGUGGUUCUUGUUUUUUUUGGUCUUACUAUUCUAGCAAAGAUUUGGUGAUGUCUAGACAUGACUGAAAUGUGCGGACAUGACUGAAAUGCUCGAGAAGUAAGUUAAAUCGAUCAUUAUCGCACCAUAUCAGCAACUUUGUUCAUUUCCUGAUAUCAAGUAAUUGUUUUUCUUUGUCUAGCAGGGUUUGGACAAAAUUCACUAAAAAAGCUCCGGGACUGCCGAAGAAGCUGCAAUUUAGACAUCCGAAAGUAAGUACUACUAGCAUGUUCCGCGCAUCUCCUAGUGAUUCAAGCGCUAGUUUCAUCAAUACCAUUUAUAGCAUGCUUGCUUAUCAGUUUGAUUGACCUCUAUUUCUUGUAAAGUUGUUGUGGCAGGAAGCCGGGAAUAAUUAUUGUGGAUACUACGUUUGCGAGUUCAUCCGCCACACGACCUGUGAGCGGGGCUACUCUGACGAACAAUAUGAAGUGCGUAAGCAAUAAUAUUCACAAUUUUAUUUUAUUACCAUCAUUUGUGUUGAGUUUGAUUUAUUCAUAUAUAUAUAUAUAUAUAUAUAUAUAUAUAUAUGUGUGUGUGUGUGUGUGUGUGUGUGUAUUGACCCCCUUCUUCAAAUUAGAUCUUUCGGAUGCGGGAUGAACUCCUACCACCAGAUCGUAUGCGAGCAAUUCAAGAGGAAUUGGCGGCAUUCUUCCUUGACCACAUGAUCGCUAAAGACGGAGAAUACCAUGUGGACCUUGAGAACAUAUAUAAUUAGGAGAUUAUAUUGUAAGAGAUAAUUAUAUUGUAUAUAUGUAGCCAGUAGUGUCGGAUAGAUAUACGAGAACUUGUUGUUCGACCAAUCUCUCUGAGAAGGAGAGGUGAUCGAUCACUUCUCUCUGUAUGCAUAUGUUCAUGACGAUCUUCUGUUUCCUUCAUUUGCUUACUAGCUAGUGUGUCGAGUCCUCUCUAUACGUAUAAUACGUAGCGUACGUCGACCAAGCACGGCGAUAAGAGAGGACACUUCUCUCUAUUAAUUAACUAGAUAACACAAUAUAUGAAACACCUAAAUUAACCCCCCAAAACCCCUAAACCACCCCUUUAAAAAAACCUCAGCUCCUGCCAGCUGCUGACGCGUGGACGCAUAUUGGUCCCGAUUUGUGCCACCAACCGGGACCAAAGGCCCCCCUGCCUGGGCUUGUCGCAGCGGCCACGUGGAGGCCCAUCUGUCCCGGUUCGUGUAAGAACCGGGACUAAAGGCCAAGGGCAUUAGUAACGACCUUUUAGUCCCGGUUCCAAAACUAGGACAGAAGGCCCUUACGAUCCGGGACAAAUGGCCCUUUUUCUACUAGUGUCUUAUGUAUCCAAUUCCGUUGAAAAAACAAAGAAAUGUAUUAUCUUGUGUCAAAUUGAAGUGCAAAUUUCAGAUUUGCGACAGCGACGCAAGAGCAGAACCCGCAAAACCGACCCAUAAAAGAGCAUCCGCGAAUAUCCUUUUAUACGGGUUCGUUUUGCGGGGUCUGUCUCUGCGGCCGCUCGCGUCGGCCCGCAAAGCCAUUUUUCCGCGAACUGCAAACGCGUUUUGCAGGUCGACGUUAUACGGGGUCUGCUAGAGAUGCUCUAGUAAAGCAAACCUUUGUAUUGCAAUACAUGCAGGAGUAGGGUCAUUAUUCCGAGGAGUCCCAACCUAUCAAAGAUCUCGCGAUCUUGGAUAUACCUCGGCAAGACCUAAAAAUUCUUCCAGGUUAUCGGUGGCGGCCCCCUGAUGGAACGAUCAUCAAAAUAAACACCGAUGCAGCAAUUCAUUUUGAUGGCGGUAGUGGUGGAGCGGGCGGGGUGGCUCGCUCAGCGUGUCAUCUCUUGGGAGCUUGGAGCAAACCCCUAGUGGGUGUCACGGAUCCUCUUAUAGCCGAAGCCAUGUCUGUUCGGGAAGGCGUGCGCUUUGCGAAGCUUCGAAGCUUUCAAGAGGUGAUCAUAAAAAUAGAUUGCCUAGAGGUUAUGGAACUCUGGAAAAAUCUGCACAAUUCCUUUUCGGUUGUGGCACCUUUGCUUUCUGAAAUAGGAGAGCCAGUUGUUGUUUUUUCUUUUUUUGAUAUUCAUCAUGUAAUCCGGUCAGUAAACUACCCAUCUCAUCUUUGUGCCAAGCGUGCUUGCACACUGAGUAUGACUGAAAGUUAGCUAGAAGAGAUCCCCAGCUUCCUGGUGAGCAUCCUAUUGGCUGAUGAUCUAGCGAAUGCUUUUGUUUGAAUAAAAGCUCUCAUUAUUGCCUGAAAAAAAACCUAUCAAAUCCCUUGUCCACAUAACCAAUAUUUUUUGUGGACUUCGAAAAUCACAAACCUUUAGACAGGGCUGCACUCACGCAAAACUUUUGCAUCAAUCUCAAGUCUACAACGGAAGGUGACCCCCACCCUCACAGGUCUUGGGAAGGUUUUAGACCUUCCUCGAUCGGAUUUUUCAGUGUUUUCUUCUACCGUUUUUUUACUUUUUUUUAUUUUUUUCUCCUUUUUCCCAUUUUAAAUUCAUUAAUAUUUUUAAAAACUCAUAAACAUUUUGGGAAAUACAGGGAACAUUUUUUUAAUUCGAGAACUUUUGUCAAAUCAGUAGACAUUUCUUAGAUUCUGAAUACUUUUUAAAAUUUGUCUAUCUUUUUUUAAUUGAGGAACAUUUUAAAAUUUGCCAACAUUUUUUCAAAUACGUAAAACAAUUAAGUUGAUGAACAUUACUUUCUUUCAAACACCUUUCCAAAUUUGUGGAUAUUUUUAUUAUGGUCGACGUGCAGCCACGACCUGGCGACACCAUUGUUGGUCAUUUGCCUGCCACAAGCUCCAAGGCCAAGUCCUUGGUUUUUGCCCUAGCCGGCCCGUCCGAGCCCAGAUCGGGCCCAAAUAGCUUGCGCUUCCCGUGACAUCCACCACACGGCCACCACAUCGUGUCACCGUGCAGUAGCACAAGUGCCUCUAGCGCACACUCAGGUAGGCCAGAUCUAGGCCCGAGGCGUGGCAGAGUACGGUGGUGGAGAUGGUGAUCCUAGCUGGCGUGCUCACUGGGAUGGUAACAAAUACAAGAUGGUGGAGGUGGUGUCCUGUUGCGGUUGUGCAUGUUGACAGGUUGUGAGUGGCGGUGCAGAGGGUUUGGGCCCCAACGCCUAGAUCUGCAGUUGGUUGUAGCUUCAUCGGGCGCGUGGGUGAGGGAAGGGGUGGAUGAUGACGAUGCUCGCAAGCAUUUGCUUCCUUCUUGAAGGCGGUAUUGAGGCGACAUGCUCACUCAACUCCGAAGAAACCUCAUAUCCUCUAGGGUAUAAGAUGAUGACAACGAGUGUGUCAAUCCUCUUAGGGCAUCGUCUUAGGAGUGGCUACCGGUUGGAGGGACAAGUGGUAGGCCAUGGUCGAUGUUGACAGUGUUUAUCGAGUGGUUGGCAGGCAUGCUGUUUUCAUUUGAAGCCAGGUUAGCGAGUGUGGUCCUUCUUGGGUUACCUCGUUCCCAUACAACACACCUCUCUCUCUCUCUUUGAGGGAUGUUGUAGGGUGGCAACCAAACGACCAACACUGAAGGUGUCCGCCUUGCUUGGUUAGAUGAUGAUGGAAGCUGAAAACCUUCUUCCCCUUGUUGAGUCUUGUUAUCCUUGAUUCCAAGUUCCUAAUCUUCUAGGUUGUGGUGUUUUACUGGUGUUGAUGUGGCAUUGUUGUGGUGCCAUUAUGUGUUUGUGUGAUCAGUCUGGACUUUGUACUGUGUUGUGUUCUUCUUCAUCAUGAAUGACAUGCAACGCCAUUGCUUCUCGUAAAAAAAAAAUUGUUCCUGCUAAGCCUAACCACAUCUUUUGAAAUUAUAGUGAAACACACCACUACAAAUUAAGGAUGUGCUACUAGAUUCUCCUGAUCUAGUCAAGAGUUAGAGCAUCUACAAUCAGACCUCUCAAACUGUCCCGAAAUGUUCAGUCACAUGCGCCAGAUAGAAUUUGGCCCACACAGCUCACCUUUUCUGUUUCUUCAUUCUUUCUUUCUUUUCUCCCUCUUCCUCUCCAUAAAUUGACCGAACAUAUGGAGAAAAGGUGGGAGACAUGACUGUGUGCAUGGACAAAUAGGGACUCAAAUCGAACAUGUCCAGACAUUAACCAGCACUAGUGCAGAAUCGGGUAAUAGCACCGGUUCGUAAGGCCCUUUAGUGCCGGUUCCAUAACCGGCACUAGAGUGUGGGCACUAAAGCCCCCCCCCCUUAGUACUGGUUCAGCACGAACCGGUGCUAAAGGGAAACCACGUGGCACGAGCCAGCUCCGGGGGCCGGGAGCCCUUUAGUACCGGUUGGUAACACCAACCGGUACUAAAUGUUUGUAGGUUUUUGUUUUAUUUUGUAUUUUUCAAUUAAAUUUGUGUUACCAAUUUAAUUUAGGAUUUUUUUACGUUAUAAUGAAUUGUAGUCGUCAUCAUCAUCAUCAUCAUCAUCGCAUAUUAAUAAAUAAAUAAACUCUAGCUAGCUAAAAAUCAUCAUAGUCGUCUAAUUACCACUAUUUAAUCAUCAUAGUCAUUACCGCUAGCUAUCUAAUCAUCACCAACACUGGCUAGCUUAAAGAGGAAACAUUCACUUUGUAACAGAAGCAAAGAUAUCAUCGAGUUCAACAUAAUCAUCACCAACAUCGAAGUUCAGGACACGGACAUGAGACACUAAUUAAGAGCAUGAACUAGUGCUGCUCCCUCUCAGGUAGAAUAGCAUAGAACAUGUAUAGCUCUCCUGAUUCAUCAUACUGGAGCAUGCAGAUUAAUCUGUCUCCUAAUCUUGGGUUGCGCUUCUCCUUACUGCCCCCUAGUACUUCUCUGCGAUCGUUAACAAUUUUGCUCCAACUUUCACUAUUAAGCAUUCUUCGCUUUCAGAAAUCCUGAAUGCACUCAUGUGCAAUGUAGGAUAUCUUGGCCGUAAGCUAACCAUUGACAUGUCACCUUUAGUCUCGAUCCAGUGAGGCACAACUGUCAUCGGAAGUCCCUGUUGAAGAACAUCGUAUAGUAAUUAAUAUACUAAGCAAUGAAAAUUUAGCUUCAAAAAUAAUGUAUGCAAAAGAUGCACUAAUUAAGGACAAAUAGUUAAAAUCUUACCAUUUUUCGAUUAUAGAUGUGACCGUAAUUCAAUACGAUCACCAUUGGUCGCACAUUUUGAGUACUAACAUUUCUAAGUUCAGGAAAAAAAUUGUCUUGACAGUAUUAAGAUCCUCAAGCCAUGAAACAUAAUGACUUAUCUCCUCGCAGUUUAGUUGAGCCCCGGGGCAGUAGUAGGUCCUGUCUACCAAGCGCCGGACAUGUUUGCUUGAACCGAAAUAAGCUGACAAUACAAAUUAGUUGUCAACUAUUUUUGAAUAAACUGUAUCAAAGACAUAAACAUAUGCAUGCAUGGUUGAGAAAAACACACAUAAUGGUAGAACUGAAGGCGUUUGCACAUCGACCCAGAUGUCUAUAUUACCUUCAAUAUCAUCUUUCGGACGAAUAUCAAAGGUGACAACCAUACCAGGCUCAAAUGCAUAAGCCUUGCAUAGUGCUUGCCAAGUUUUGCAUUCAAAAUGGGUGUAUGUGUCUCCAUUAUAUAAUUUGACGUUGAAAGUAUACCCAUGUUCCGUCUUCAAGUAAACUCUCUUUACCUCCAUACCAUCUAUAGCACUAAAACCUAUCUUAUCCAAGACAAAAAUUCUUGCAUGGCAGGGGAUGCAUUAGUAGAAUAGUGAAAAUUUAAAAUUAUAAGUUGAAGCAAAUGAAGCAUAAGUUUUGCAUUCAAAUAAUAAUUGACAAAGUGACUUACUGUAUCAACUUCGAAUGUCUCAUCCAGCUUGAUGCUGAAGCGCCUAACAUCAACAAGGAAAUUUCUGUCGCACAGGCCGCGCUGGUCUUCACAGUGUUCGCACAUAAUGAAAUCUUUUUCGUCGUCAGAUGACAUUUCCUAUGUUCAUAUAGGUGAAACAUUAAACACCUAUUACUAUCUAACAUUAAUUAAUAUCUAGCCAAAUAUAUAUUCAUCUAACAUUUGACAUUAAUAUAUCUAAUUAUAUUCAUCUCUAACAAUUGACAUUACUAUAUAUUUAACUUUUCUAUCUAAUUCAUCUAACAUUCAACAUUAAUCUAACAUUUAUAUAAAAUCAAAAUAUAUAAAAAAUUAAAUAAACAGAAAAACUCAUUAACAAAUAAUAUUUUAAUUAGAUCAUCAAAUCUCAGAUACCUAAAUUUUCUUACUAAAAAUAAACUAGUUAUAUUAAUUAUUGAACUAGUUCAAAUCUCAUAUACCUAAAUAAACUAGUUAUAUUAAUUAUUGAACUAGUUCAAAUCUCAUAUACCUAAAUAAACUAGUUCAACAAUUUUCUUACUAAAAAUAAACUAGUUAUACUAAUUAUUGAACCAGUUCAAAUCUCAUAUACCUAAAUAAACUAGUUCGAUAAUUUUCUUACUAAAAAUAAACUAGUUAUAUUAAUUAUUCAACUAGUUCAAAUCUCUAUAGUUCGACAAUUUUCUAUCUAGCUAAUUCAUCUAACAUUCGACAUUAAUCAAACAUUAGAUCAUCUAAUUAACUUUUCUAAAAUACAGAAAAUAAGUAAAAAAAAUGUGUGUGUGUGUGUAUGUGUGUGUAGUGUGUACGUAUAUAUGUGUGUGUAUGUGUGCGGCCCCGUACGCCGCCGCCCCGUACGUACGAGCGGGGGCGCCGACAUACGGGACGGGGGCGGCGGCGUACGUACGGGCGGGGGCGCCGCCGUACGGGCCGGGUACGACGACGAUGGACGGCGGCGCGGCGGGUAUACGCGAGAGCGAGAGACGUACGGGACCGCGGCGGGACAACGACGGACGGCGGCACGCGGUGUUCGGGGCGGCGGCGCGAGACGGCGACGACGACGGGCGGCGGCGGGGACAGCGACGAUGACGACGGACGACGGGCGACGGGCGGCGAGGACGGGUUCGAGCGGCGCGCCAGAGGUUGGAGACGAAAGAAGUGGGAAGAUCUAACUGAAUUUUCGUAAGUGUUGUAUAUAUAGGAGAGGCCUUUAGUACCGGUUGGUGGUUCCAACCGGUACUAAAGGAUGGUCUUUAGUACCGGUUGGAGCCACCAACCGGUACUAAAGGCCUCGCGCUGCCAACCCAAAGUUUAGUCCCACCUCGCCGGGCGAAGUGCAGCCGCACUGGUUUAUAAACCCAGCCGCGGCUACCUCUUCGAACUCCUCUAUAUAGCAGACUUCUGGUCCUAAUUAAUUAGGGCGCGCUGCCCUGUGAGCCUGCUGGCCCUUCUGGGCCUGCAUUUGCACACCCUAGGUCUGGCAGGCCCACUGGGCAGCGCGCCAACAAAUUUUUUAUAUAGUUUUUUUCUUUUCUGCAUUAUUUAUUUUCUUCUAUUUAUUUUUGAGUAGUUUUUUAUAUAGUUUUUUCUUUUCUGCAUUAUUUAUUUUCUUNNNNNNNNNNNNNNNNNNNNNNNNNNNNNNNNNNNNNNNNNNNNNNNNNNNNNNNNNNNNNNNNNNNNNNNNNNNNNNNNNNNNNNNNNNNNNNNNNNNNNNNNNNNNNNNNNNNNNNNNNNNNNNNNNNNNNNNNNNNNNNNNNNNNNNNNNNNNNNNNNNNNNNNNNNNNNNNNNNNNNNNNNNNNNNNNNNNNNNNNNNNNNNNNNNNNNNNNUUUUCUUUUGGAAAUUGAAUUUAUUUUUGAGUAUUUUUUUAUAUAGUUUUUUCUUUUCUGCAUUAUUUAUUUUCUUCUAUUUAUUUUUGAGUAAUUUUUUUGUAUAGUUUUUUUAUUUUCUGCAUUAUUUAUUUUCUUCUAUUUAUUUUCUUCUGGAAAUUGAAUGCUGCAUACUGAACAAUUAGGUAAAUGACCGUAAAACAACAAAUAAUGUCAGAACAUGUUGGAAAUUGAUGACGUCGCUUUGAAUGCUGCAUACUGAACACAAAAGAAGUCCGGAGUUCAAAUAAAUUAUUAAAAAUAAAAAAGAGGUGCAAUGCUGGUUAAUUUGCUUCAAGCCAUUCGGAAUAGUGUAGACUGCACUGCACAUAGCUCAGUGCAAUCUAUGCUAUUCCGCAAGGCUUGAAGCUAAUCAACAUGUAGGUGAGCAUUUCAACUCUUCGUCAUUGUCUGUGCACUCAUGGCUUAUAAACCGCUCAUACUGCCUCUCUCUUGGCGAGGUGGGACUAAAAAUCAGCUUACAAAGAAACUCUAGUACCGGUUCAUGGCAUGAACCGGUACUAAAGGUCUUCGUGGGGGCCCCAGACUGACCAUAGCCUGACACAGCCUCAUUAGUACCGGUUCGUGGCAUGAACCGGUACUAAAGGUUACCCACGAACCGGUACUAAUGAUGCCCGCCCGCCUAGCCGUUGGAACCGGCACUAAUGGUCACAUUAGUGCCGGCUCAAAUUCAAACCGGCACUAAUGUGUUUCAUAUUUGACCCUUUUUCUACUAGUGCAGACACAUGUGUAGACGUUUGAGGGGCCAAAUUUGCCCAAUUGUAAAUGCCCUAACAACUCAGGAAGUAUCAAAGGUGCACCACUAUCUAGGAAGAAAAUAUCAAGGUAUGUAGAUGCAAAGUUAUGGGUCACGCCAACUGGAGGAGUGGUGCUAGAUAUGUGGUAUCUAUGUGAAGCUCGCAAGUUUGGAUUUUGCAUGCUUGAAGAUAAUGUACCCAAUUUUUGGUCGUGAUAAAAACAAUUAUUGCAUCAGUCAGUUUCUUUCAAAAUUGAUAUCUUUUAUGAUGUCACGGAAAUAGGUUCUUUUAUGGUGUAUACAUGACUCUCACAUGGAUUUUCUGCUCCUGAGCUCAAAUACACCUGCAUGCACAAUAAUAUUCAAAGAAAAAAAAACAGCAAUCUAAUUACUUAUUUAUGUUGAUAACAUACAUCACUAACAAUCUGUAAAAUUUCACCUAGAAUAGACAUCCAUAGAAGCCUGUAAAAAAACAGACGUGGAGUAUUUGAGCUUGAAGAAAUCAGAAUUUUUUUUGAAAAAAAGUUCAAAAAAAUCUGAUUUUUUUUUGUGAUAAACUUUAACAAAUGUUCUAAGUGCUUGCAAAUUUUCAUCAUGAGAUCACAUUCGAGGAAGGCGUGACAAAAAAACAAAAACAAAGUUCUGAAAAUGUUACUUUCAAAAGCAUUUGGAACACUGAUUUUACAUUGAUUUUUUUUGGCCAUGCCUUCCACGAAUAUGAUCUCUUGAUGAAAAUUUGCAAACACUUAGAACUUAAGUAUACUACAAAAAAAUUCAGAUUUUUUUAAUUGUUUUACAAAUUUACUGCUCAUCCAGGCUCAAAUGAGCUCGAUCUCAAAAGGAUACUUUCCGUAAAAAACAAAAUUCAUGACUCAAAAAGACACAUUUGGAGCACUCAUUUUUUUUAAUUUUUGCACGGACCACUACGGAUGAAUUUUCACGGGGAAUUGCACGAUGUUGGAACACUUGUUCAUGAUUAGAGUAACCCUUUCGUACUUGACUUCCUUUCUCACGCGCCAGUUGGGACCCGUGCUCCCAUACACUAAAAUGGCGUCUACUAGUAGUUUAUCAGGAGUAGGUUUUGGUGCCGUAGUGCCGACAAUCUACGGAUUGUUGGAAAGGAAUCAACCGAGCACAUCACUCAAACAGAUCAAAAACGACGCGACGGUUGAAAGCCUGCAGGUCUCCUCUCACUGUCUCGCGAGUCACUCGCAAGCUUGGAUAAUUUCUGGUCACGUCUCGCCUCACGAUCACAUCACGCAGCUUCUUUUUCUCCGUUCUCGAGCUCUCGGGGUCGCAUGGUGACUCGGGAGUUUGGAUUGUUUCCAGCAUGUAGUACUCCCCUAUGUGGAGAGGACCUUGGCGUAGCCAACUGUUACGAGGGACUGAUCGAGCACUCAUUCCAAAGUUGCAGCACGUCAGCACGGAGAAAGGAAUGAAGCCAUCUGCCCACCCGUGACGCGUCGAUCUCGGCGCGAGGAUCGAGACGGGAAGCAGCGAUUGCACCCCUUCGCGACGUCGUCUUCUUCGAGAGGACGACGUGCCGCCCGGCCUGGACGCGUGUGGCAACGAGAAGCUCGGAGAUGAGAUGUAUACAUACAGAGGAAGCACGCCCUGUGUAGAGAGGAUUUGGAAAUGUUUCUUGCACGAGAGCUCGUUUUUGUUAUAGUCAAUCCAGACAUUAGUUCGAAAGCACAUAAGAUAAAUUUAACAUUCCUUGCAGUAUCAAUAUCAUCGGGUAACCAUUUUUUUUUGCAUCAUCAACAUAACAUCUAAAGCGCCAUCCAAAAAGCCUUUUAACUAUUCCAUGGUGUUUAGCUCUAUCCAUAAUCAUGGUCAGAGGCUCAAAGCAUCAACAAUCAAGUAAAAAAGCAGAGCUGACAGAGAAUAUGUUAGAGGUAAUCUUGAUUGAUAAGAUGUAUACGUGAGGUUCAAGUACUAGUACGUUAGCAAGGUUAGUUUGGCUGGCUGGGUCCGGCUGUAGUUAGGCUAUAGGAUAAUUAGUAGUACUACAACUGCACGAGCAUUGGUACAUGUCCAAGUCAUAGGAGAGUCCGGUCAGGAUCUGUAUCAUGUGUGUCCGUGUAGGUGUAGGACACGGUCUAGUAAGGCUGCGUUGGUUGUGUAUAUAAACAUAGCCAAGCCGUGAGUUUUGUAAUCAUGGGAAAAAGAGAAAAAGAAAAUAAAAAGAGGAGAAACAAAGGGCACGACAAGAGCCCUUGGCUAUAAAAGUUUUGUGCGCGUGUGUUCAUCGUGAUUUGAUGUGAUCGAUCCUGUGGGCAGAAUUCCAACAAUUGGUAUAAGAGCUAGGUCGAUUUGAAGCCGCGCUUGCCCCGGGGUGGCGAUCUGCUAGUGCCUCGGGGUGGGCGAUAUGAUCGCUGGGUGGUGCAGCGGCGAGAAAGAGCAGGCGAUGGAGUCGCUGGGUGAUGCAGCGGCAAGGAGGAACAAGUGAUCGUCGUUCGUCGGAGCGACAUGGAGGGAGACGGCGGGUUGUCGUCGGCAAGGCGGUGGAAGAAGAUCGUUGACGGGAGCGGUGGUGCCGAGGUGCGGUGCCGGAAAGUCGUCAAGAUCGUCUUUCAUGGGAGUUCGAUGAGUCAAGGAGUCGUGCGGGUUAGCACGGUCGGUCGGUUGGUCAGUCAUCGUCGUCGUCAUGUCCAAGUGCUUGUCUCUUUGAGGAGGCGUUGAAGAUGAAGCGUGCCCAGGUCGUCUGUGUGUCUCGACGAGAGGAUCAAGUUCAAGUAUGUGGGGAUGGUAAACUAGUGAAGGUGAGUCUCUUCAAUGAUGCCAUGUCUCUACAUGCGGCUGGAGUGCAUGGUGUAGUGCACGGGGUGGUGUGAUCCACAAGGAGCCGGCAUGUAUCUCGCUAGGGUGGAUGGUGCAGUCUACCGGGUGGGGUUUUCCACAGGUUACUGGCGAGGCUGGGUAGUCCAAAGCAUAUUUGAGGUGGUCCGUAAAUUCGCCAAGUCGAAAUUGAAGGGGAGAUUGUUGCGAGCAAUCGGGAUCAUCAAUUUGAUUUGUCGUGGUGCGAGCGGAUGAGCGAUAAGGGGUGAUCUACAACGAGCCAAGACUGGAGAAGCACAGAAGACAUAAAGUCAAGAUUAGGAAGAGAUUGUUAGAGGUAAUCUUGAUUGAUAAGAUGUAUACGUGAGGUCCAAGUACUAGUACGUUAGCAAGGUUAGUUUGGCUGAUUGGGUCCGGCUGUAGUUAGGCUAUAGGAUAAUUAGUAGUACUACAACUGCACAAGCAUUGGUACAUGUCCAAGUCAUAGGAGAGUCCGGUCAGGAUCUGUAUCAUGUGUGUCCGUGUAGGUGUAGGACACGGUCUAGUAAGGCUGCGUUGGUUGUGUAUAUAAACAUAACCAAGCCGUGAGUUUUGUAACCAUGGGAAAAAGAGAAAAAGAAAAUAAAAAGAGGAGAAACAAAGGGCACGACAAGAGCCCUUGGCUAUAAAAGUUUUGUGCGCAUGUGUUCAUCGUGAUUUGAUGUGAUCGAUCCUGUGGGCAGAAUUCUAACAGAAUACCUCUGUCUUAGGCCCUUAUGAUCGAGUUAGAAAAUAUGGUCCAACAAAGUCAUUUACUUUGAUCCCAACAUAACCCCUUCUCAUAGUGCUCAUGACCCAAUCACACUGUAAAUCAGGGAAUCAUUCAAGAGAAAGCAUUCAAUAAACAAAAAGACCAUUUUAUUUUAUCAUAUGUUUUGUCAAAGUCAACUUUGAGAAGCCAUGCAUUCAUUUCUCCUUAUGUAUAGUGUUAAGGACUUCAUGAAAGAUAAUCACACGCACUUGCCCAGCCGUGUCGGUCGCUCGAUUGCCUCGCAAUUCACAAAGUCGUUGGAUCCCGCACGAGGUCACGGUCAGUUCUAAGCUUCGGUUUCUUUUUGUCGGUCACAAGGGAGAAACUUAUGAUUUUGUCGCUCACUCAUACCAAGUUUCAGAAGUUGGAACUUAACAAAAUUGUAAAAUUCAUCAAGACAAAAUGGAUCUCAUUUCAAAGCCUCGUUGUGAGAAACACGAAUAUGCAAACAAAAUUUGAUUUACACUUUAUUCAAAGGCCAGUACUACAAAUCAACCAGCUGAUGCCACGGGUAGUUAAGCCGCCUCGCUGGCCGUUUGAUCAGCCCCGAUCGCACCAUUGGAUCCCUUCCGUCAGACACUUUGAAGUGUCAACGCGCACAUGAUCCUCUCCUCACACCGCACAACAGCUUCCUUCGUCCUUCAGUCUCGCAACAUGUCGUGGUAUUCUCACGGAGGGGGGGGGUGCAAGACGACAUAUGCCACAAGGUAGCUUCGUGUGAGGGCAAGACUGCUGCCGGAAUAUCCAGGGACGGGUAUGCGAGUAUCACGUGCUAGUUUACCCAGGUUCGGGGCUCUCCGAAGAGAUAACACCCCUACUCCUGCAUGUCUGAGUAUAUCUGGUAUAUCUGGUACAGAGUGCUCAUGGAGCUAUAUCUGAAAGCAGUGCCACAGGCAUCUGGUUUCAUAUAUGCGAGUAUGUGGCAUGCUCUAGUGGCCGACCAUGCUCAUGGCUCAUGUCCGUGAGCAUGUGUAUGCUCAUGCGGGUGUGUGGACGGCUUGCUAGCUAGCUUGCUUGUGCGUGUGCGUGAGUGUGUGAGUCCAUCCCCUGAUGGAUGGAUGUGUGCCUAUAUAUAUAGGAGUUGGCAUGGGUGGUAGUGGCUUUGGUUGUAAGCUACCUUGGGUAGCUUACAAGCCAAGCUAUGUAGGCAUGGCUAGUGGCAUGGUGCAUGUCAUGCUUGUCCCCUGGGGCACUUUAUAAAUCAGUACCCAGGGGACACAGUACACUGUAGAUGGCGUCGCGGUAUGGUCGUCCCGUCGGUGUCUCGUCAGACUGCAGUUGACUUCGGGCAGUCGGCCUGACGGAGGAGUUGGCAGCCAGCAGUCGGCCUGGUGGAGGAGUCGGCAGCCAGCAGUCGGCCUGGUGGAGGAGUCGGCAGCCAGCAGUCGGCCGGGUGGAGCAGUCAGCAGCCAGCAGUCGGCAGCCAGCAGUCGGCCUGGUGGAGCAGUCAGCAGCCAGCAGUCAGCCGCCAGCCAGGCAGUUGGACUGAGGGGCUUUGCUAGCCCCGAUGUCUUGAAUUCUUGUCUCGCCGUCUUCGGGGUAUCCGUGUUCAAUUACUCCGACACAACACCCUGCGGCGCCGGCGACAUUCAGUGCAGUGAUAAAACAACGGCACGGUGGCGCUCCAUUGAAACACCGACAGCUCGAUGAAGCUUCAUCGCAACCUCGGCGGCCCCCGGCGAAGCCCAUUGCAGCACUGGUUGGCCCCUAACGAACCUUCAUUGCAGCAUUGAACGACCUCGAUGGAGCUUCAUCGCAACACCUGCGCCCCCGGCGAAACUCCAUCGUAGCGCCGGCGUCCCGACGCGGCGGUGCUCCAUUGCAGCAUCGACGUCGCCGUCACAGCUCCCAUCGCAACGCCGGUGUCCCCACGCGGCGGUGCUCCAUUGCAGCUUCGAUGCUGUCUGGUCGUCAUCGCAACUCCCAUCGCAGCACCGGCGACCGCUCUCUAGAGAUUGCAUCUUUGUGAUGCGUUGCAGCACCGUGCGGGGAUUGCGCCCGCCUCGGGCCUUUUAUCUACCCGUUGCGUUACAGCUCCGACGGUGAAGCGGGCAGCCCCUCCUGGCAACUGCGUGGAGGGCGGUUCCGCGGUGGUCGAGAGGGGCGCGGGAGCGGCGUGGGGCUGGCAGCGCGGCUGCUGGCGCGAUGAGCCGUGUGUGGCCACCGUGUCGGGCUUCUCUAGCUUGGCCAGAUCUUGCCGCCGAGGCUGCGGGUGGCACAGGGGACUCCCGUCAUUCCUCCGAUGCUGGUACGCUGCGGCGGCCCCAGGCUGCGGUGGACUCGCCCUCCUCUUUUCGGAGCGGAGGCACGACAAGGUGGAUGGUCGACAUCAUGCGGCGGCUCUGCAUUUCCCUGGCCGUGAGGGUGGCGGGGCUGUAGCGGGUGGAUGCAGGUCUUGGUCUUCCUCGACCAGGGGCUGCGGUGGUCUCGCCGGUCGGCGGCACGACGGCAUCCGACCCCCCCCCCCUUCUCCAUGGUGAUGGCCCAAGGUGGCAACUUUGCCCUACCUUCCAGUUUGCCGCGCUUCAGAUUUUGAUGGACAAGGCUAAGGAGAAAUUCAACAUGGUUGCGGCUGCGGGCAAGGACGACGCCUGUGGGCGCCGUCUCCUCCUUGGGGGCGUUUUCAUGGCCAUGUCCAUCCCCUGUUUUGUCACCGGGGAAACCCUAGGCUCGGUUCGUCGGGCCGGGCAGCGGCGACGUCUCGGCGCCAUCCCCUUCUUGGAGGCGCUGCCUAGGUUCUCGGGGUGCGUCAGGAGCUACUGGUGGGCUGCCUCGAUCGCCUCAGCGGCGAGUCUUGGGGUGCCAAGUUGUCAUUUGCGGGUUGUUGGUGUGGACAGGAGCAUCCGGGGCACUAUGUACUCCAUCAUCGGCACCUCUUCGACGGCGUCUUCGAGUCAGGCUAGCUCUCGGUUUCUGCCUGCCGAUCCUCUAGGCAUCGAGGGUGGAGAGUGUGUUGAUGUAGUUUGGUUAGGUGUUUUUGUCGUGUUUUGAGGUGUUUGAUUCAGGAGGACGCGGCCUAUGUGUUUUGUGUCCGUCCUCUUCAUCAUUGUUUGGCUUGAGUACAGGCAAGGGGGGUUAGUUGUCUAUGUUGUCACGGUGGAUGUGGGUGCUAACCUCGCUGGGUAAUACGUUGCCGAAAGGCGUUGUAUCAGCCGUCUUGACUCUUCUUCUUUAAUAUAUAGUACGCACAUUUGUGCGUAUUCGAAAGAGAAAAAACUGUGUUGCAGUAAUUCGCGAGCAGCUCUGAUUCCCGGUUUGCUUGUUACAUCGCAGCGGUGUGCAGGGGAGAUGAAGCAAACCGUGGUCGCCGUCGUUCUCCCACUUCACAACAAUGGUGGGUGGGGGGUCGCGUCGCCAUGGGAGCUCUGUCCUCUCCCUCCCAGCAUGAGGACCGGAGUGGGAAGGGGAAAGAGAUGAAUGGACGAUAGCUCGUGCGAAAAGGUGGGGAGAUAAGCCUUGACCGAAAAAAGCAGCGGUGGCUGAUGGGUCCACAUGGCACGUGUCCAUCAAGGGACCAGGCUUGCAUUUGGAUGUUACCAUUCGAUUUAGAAUAAACAUAUUCCUUGUUCAAAAGAUAUGAAAGAUUGAAAAUGGAAAAUAAUAGGAUUGACUACAGUUUUCAGUCUAUGCAUCAGAAUCUUAGUGGAAGUUUUAAAGCUAACAUUCAAAAGACAGGUAGCCCCGAACUUCUAACUCUGUUUGGCAUCCUUGGUUUUAUGGAUCAAGGUUAUAAUUAAUACCAUAGUUGGGUCUAGAAAUAUAUAGCCUGCCUUCAUGGAGCUCCCAAUUUAAUAAGCUCCCAAUUUUUAUUUUUAUUUAAAAAAAAUCAGUGGGUAUCAGCGUAUCAGGGGCUUCUUUUCUUCAACGGCACACCCGUGCCUAUACAGUAGCGAUCGACGGCAGCUGAUUUGUUUGCCAUCUCCAAACACGUCCCUGCGCCGACGACGCACUGCCGUGACACCCAGUGCACCUGCGUGGAAGCGCCACCAAAGCUCGGCGCCUAUAAAAAGCAGCAUCGCACCAUGCUACUCCCAACUAAGCUCACGCAAACACAACUACUCCCCAGUGGCCAGCAACUCUGAACCUCCCGGACCAAGUUAGCAAUGGCAAAGCGCCUCGCCGUCGCGCUCCUGCUGCUGGUCCUGCUCGCGUCCAGCGACGCCGGUGCUGCUGCCCGUGCUGCUAGUGGCGUCGGCGAGAAGAAGGCUCUGGUGCCCGGGGUGGACCUCCCUCUCCCUGGGCUCCCUGGGCUGCCUGGGCUCCCUGGGCUCCCUGGCCUGCCGGGGCUCCCUGGGCUCCCUCCCGUUCCCAAAUCCACCGCCACCAAUAAGUCUCCAUGAUCGU
rnacentral:lncRNA from 1 species